UGGGGAAUAUUGCACAAUGGGCGCAAGCCUGAUGCAGCAACGCCGCGUGAACGAUGAAGGUCUUCGGAUCGUAAAGUUCUGUUGCAGGGGAAGAUAAUGACGGUACCCUGUGAGGAAGCCCCGGCUAACUACGUGCCAGCAGCCGCGGUAAUACGUAGGGGGCUAGCGUUAUCCGGAUUUACUGGGCGUAAAGGGUGCGUAGGUGGUCUUUCAAGUCGGUGGUUAAAGGCUACGGCUCAACCGUAGUUAGCCUCCGAAACUGGAAGACUUGAGUGCAGGAGAGGAAAGUGGAAUUCCCAGUGUAGCGGUGAAGUGCGUAGAUAUUGGGAGGAACACCAGUAGCGAAGGCGGCUUUCUGGACUGCAACUGACACUGAGGCACGAAAGCGUGGGUAGCAAACAGG
rnacentral:rRNA from 1 species